GGUGACGACCUUCGGGAGCUUGCACAGGUGCUGCAUGGUUGUCGUCAGCUCGUGUCGUGAGAUGUUGGGUUAAGUCCCGCAACGAGCGCAACCCUUAUUGCUAGUUACCAUCAUUAAGUUGGGGACUCUAGCGAGACUGCCAGUGAUAAACUGGAGGAAGGUGGGGAUGACGUCAAAUCAUCAUGCCCCUUAUGACCUGGGCUACAAACGUGAUACAAUGGCUGAAACAAAGGGCAGCGAAGGAGCGAUCUGGAGCGAAACCCAAAAAGCAGUCUCAGUUCGGAUUGAAGUCUGCAACUCGACUUCAUGAAGUCGGAAUCGCUAGUAAUCGCGGAUCAGAACGCCGCGGUGAAUACGUUCUCGGGGUUU
rnacentral:rRNA from 1 species